AUACUUGAAUAAUAAAGAAUGGGUGCAAAAAUUCUCACAUUAUCAUGCUGCAAAAUAGUACAUUUCAGCUGUAACAAAACAAAUUAUCUGAUGAAAGCUUCAGCCAUGAGAAUCUAGGAAAGGAUGUCAAGUCCAAAGAGAAGGCCAUAUAACAAAUGGUUGCUGAAUUCAUGAAGACUAGCUAGGGAUGAUACAGUACAUUUCUACUCAUAUGAACCAUAUCUAAACAUCAUUUGAGGAUCCCUUUCUCAGAAAAAAGAAUUUGCAUACUUAAAGACUCUAUAGUUUAUUGUUAAUUUGUACGUUGUUUAACAUUCUUCUUGAGAAAUUUUCACUCAUAUGGGGAUGCCAACAUUUGUCGGUGGAGAGCUUCAAAUUUUGUCCUUUACCUGGCAUACAUGGCUAAUUGAGCAAUGAGGGAUCUUUUUGGUACUAGCACCUACUGCAACACAGGACCUCUGUAUAUACAGUCUCAUCUAUGUCCGACUGUGGGAUUUCGAACCAGCAAUUCAUGGAUCAACUCCCUACUAAUGACUCUCGAGCAGAUGCUCUUGCUACUGUGCCAUGCAGGUGACUUCAUAGUUUAUAAAAUGAUAAGAUAAGAUUUAUAACUAAAAACUGAUGUUUUUAAUUCAAUCACAGUAUAGAAAAUGUUUGCAAAAAAGGGAGGUAAUAGCUUCAUGUAGCUCUCACUGCUU